rnacentral:sRNA from 1 species
CUGUGCAAAUUCAACCCAAACACCAGUGCCAUAUGAACCUCGUCUAAUGUGUCUUCGUAAGCAAUGGCGUAUUGUGCAAAAUUUGAAGAAUGAUGUGGAUGCAGAAGAUUUGAAUGGUGAAGCCUCCCCAUCCGGGUCAUUUCACGGGCGAGGAUGUCGAUGAUGGUCACUCUAAAGUGGGCGGUAAAGAUGGUCACCCCUAAAGUGGGUGGAGAAGAUGGUCACCCCUAAAGUGGGCAACGCAAAAGGGGCUGGAUGUGGUAUGAACCACAUUCAUUGAACACUAAUUAUUAUUGCAGUCUGAUCAUAGACAGUAAAAUUGAUAAUUUAUUUGUGAAUUUAGCGCCAUUUGUGAUAGUAUAAAUGCCCUUCAGGCCUUGAUUCUUUCCUUUUUUGCUUGGACAACUUAACUAAACACGUAAGGUUAUCCUUUAUAACUUAAAUUAAAUUUUUAUAAAUUUUUUCCUUUAUUUUAUUAGCGAAUAAACAUUACACAAACAUUUGUCAUCAAUCAUUUAAA